GACGAACGCUGGCGGCGUGCUUAACACAUGCAAGUCGAACGGAAAGGCCCUUCUUUUGUGGGGUGCUCGAGUGGCGAACGGGUGAGUAACACGUGAGUAACCUGCCCUUGACUUUGGGAUAACUUCAGGAAACUGGGGCUAAUACCGGAUAGGAGCUCCUGUUGCAUGGUGGGGGUGGGAACGUUUCGGCGGUUGGGGAUGGACGCGCGGCUUAUGAGCUUGUUGGUGGGGUAGUGGCUUACCAAGGCUUUGACGGGUAGCCGGCCUGAGAGGGUGACCGGCCACAUUGGGACUGAGAUAGGGCCCAGACUCCUACGGGAGGCAGCAGUGGGAAAUAUUGCACAAUGGGCGGAAGCCUGAUGCAGCAACGGCGCGUGCGGGAUGACGGCCUUCGGGGUGUAAACCGCUUUCGCCUGUGACGAAGCGUGAGUGACGGUAAUGGGUAAAGAAGCACCGGCUAACUACGUG
rnacentral:rRNA from 1 species